rnacentral:rRNA from 1 species
AGAGUUUGAUCAUGGCUCAGGACGAACGUGGCGGCGUGCCUAAUGCAUGCAAGUCGAACGGGGGGGACUACGGUUCCUCAGUGGCGCACGGCUGAGGAACACGUGGGUCAUCUGCCCUGGUGUGGGGAUAACACUCCGAAAGGUGUGCUAAUCCCGCAUACGAUCCCAAUAGGGAGAAAGCCUUCGGGCGCACCAGGAGGAGCCUGCGACCCAUCAGGUAGCUGUAGGGUAAUGGCCUACCAGGCCAAUGACGGGUACCUGGUCUGAGAGGAUAUCAGGCAGAUUGGGACUGAGACACGGCCCAGACUCCUACGGGAGGCAGAGCAAGGAAUUUUCCGCAAUGGGCGCAAGCCUGACGGAGCAACGCCGCGGCAGGACGAAGGCUUUCGGGUUGUAAACUGCUUUUGUUGGGGACGAAACGACGGUACCCAACGAAUAAGCCCCGGCUAACUUCGUGCCAGCAGCCGCGUAAUACGAAGGGUGCGAGCGUUGUUCGGAAUUACUGGGCGUAAAG